rnacentral:rRNA from 1 species
GAUCAUGGCUCAGAGUGAACGCUGGCGGUAGGCCUAACACAUGCAAGUCGAACGGCAGCACAGUAAGAGCUUGCUCUUAUGGGUGGCGAGUGGCGGACGGGUGAGGAAUACAUCGGAAUCUACCUUUUCGUGGGGGAUAACGUAGGGAAACUUACGCUAAUACCGCAUACGACCUCGGUGAAGCAGGGACCGUCGGGCCGUUCGCGCGGAGUAGAUGAGCCGAUGUCGGAGUUAGCGUAGUUGGUCGGGGUAAACGGG